UAUAUUCACGCUCUCGCCGAAUUCAUCGCUCUGACGUAUGAACACGCCGAAUUCGAUAAAUUAAUCGUCGUGCGGGAUUUUUUAACGAAAACUGUAAAAGUGUCAACGAACUGUUGUAUAUAUGAGUAGGUUAAGGGAGCCUUUUAACAAACUGUAUUAUUUGUACUGCGUGUAUUGUGUAAAGUUGUAUACGUAUAAAUUAUUUUUGCGAGUAAAUCGAAAAUCAAUACAAUCUAAUACUAUAAAAUAGGUAUAUUAUUGUGAUAUAUUAUGCUGAUAAUGGUGGCUCAAAAAACAAAAUAUUGACUGAGACAAAUGCUGCGAGGCACGCCAUGGAAGAUAUUAUACAGCGGAUUUAACGCCUAUUCGUGGAUGUGGACGAUGUUUGAUACAAUUCGAUACUCUGUGGUUUUUCGCCGAUGCACAACUGGAGUGCCAAUACAAACGAUGAUGAACGCUAAAGCAGGUAUGCG